UGAGAUCAUGCCAUUGCACUCCAGCCUGGGCAAAGUUUUUGAAACUUCUUUUGAAAAAAAAAAGUGGCAUGUGGGAAUCCUGAAUCUGGAGCUGACCAGGAGAAGCUGUAUUCUGAUUUCUGAGUUUGAAGAAAAAGGGGCUUUUGGGGAAAUGAUACUCUUUUAUGUACAAAGUAUAAAGCUCCUUCAGCAUGGAUAAAGGGGGAAUGAAUACUAUUUGGACAGGAAAUCAAAGAUUCCAAAACACAUAGUGUUAGGUCUGGGAGGUAGUUAGCUACACUGAUAAUGGCAAAAUAGUAGUAGUUUAUGAGAAGGAAAAAAGUUACAUGUCACCCACAGACAUGCUAGCUAAAAUCUAUAAAAUUACAAGCAAUGAUAAAGGACAAUAAUUAAUCAUCUAGGCUAUUUUUCGUUGUUUUUGGAAUGUGAGUGCUAGAUGAUAAAAGCUAUCAAGUGUAUUGUUUGCCUUCAACAUAAAAUGAAAGUAACAAUACCAGUACUAUAAGGUCCAGUUCAUGUUUUUUUAAAACCAAAGUCUAAACACCUAAAUUGGAACCAAUUAUAUUAAAAUGUUCCAUCUGAGAUCCAGACUUUAUGUCAACAAACAUUUGAGCAUUUAGCACUUAUUUUUUACUAGUUGCAAGUUCCCACACUUAAGGAGUGAAUGACAGACAUGAGAACAUGUCAUUGCAAUCAACAUGUUAAGUUCUCUGGUAGAGUUAUUUAUAGGGUAAUACUGGGAGCACAGAGGAGAAAACCAUAUCUCAGCAAAAUGUUGGGUCGGCACUGAGGUGGUAAUGGUCAGAGAAGGCUUCCUAAAUGCAGAUAUCCUGAGUCUUGAAGGAUGAGGAUAAAGAAGUUAGCCAGGCAAAAACAAGAUAAUUCAGACACAGGAGAGCAAAAGGAGAGCUCAGAUAGAUGGUAUCAUGUUAGAUGUUGCAGGAUUUUUAAUAGGCAAGGUGAGGAUGGUCAAAUGGGAUGGGAGGCAGUGGUUUUGGAAAAGGGUCAGUUACUCCCAGGCUUUUGCUUGCCCUGUUGAGGAGCUUUGAUAUCCUGUGGGUGAAGGAGAACUCUGAAGUAGCUCUAAUUAAGGAAGCAACCUGAUUAGACUGUUUCAGGAAGAUCAUUCUGCAAGCUGUUGGGAAGCAAGGAGAUCAGUUAUAAGCCUACUCUAAAAUCCAGGCAAUAGGUCAUAAACCAGAGCACACAGAGUGUGGAGAGGAAGAGGCAAUUGAUAAGACUUUGGGAAACAUAUUUUGGUAUGAGAAUAACUUCAGCAUGUUUCAGGCUGGGGAGCCAGGGGAGAAGUCCUUGGGGAAGGAUGGAGCAAAGCCUGAAUGACCUGGGUCUAAGAGCAUGCAGAGAACUUGAAGAGAUGUGAAUAUCAGUAAAGUGAAUUAUCUUAAUGAAAAGUAAAAAAGUAGAGCAGCAACAUGGAGGAAACUGGAGUGAACCGAGAGCUUAGUGACCAACAUGUGCCUCCUCAACAAGCCAAGAGUGAGAUGACCCCAGAGGAGCUGCAGAAGCGAGAGGAGGAGGAAUUUAAAACGGGUCCACCCUCUGUGCUCACUCAGUCUGUCAAGAACAACACCCAAGUGCUCAUCAACUGCCGCAACAUAAGAAACUCCUGGGCUGUGUGAAGGCCUUCGAUAGGCACAGCAACAUGGUGCUGGAGAACGUGAAGGAGAUUUGGACUGAGGUACCCAAGAGCAGCAAGGGCAAGAAGAAGUCCAAGCCAGUCAACAAAGACCGCUACAUCUCCAAGAUGUUCCUGCGCGGGGACUCAGUCAUUGUGGUCCUGCGGAACCCGCUCAUCGCCAGCAAGUAGGAGCCACCUAUCCCUGUCAGUCAACAGAACUCACUCCUCUGUCCUACGGAGGCCGCUGCCGCUGGUGUUAAGAACAAUAAAGCUCUGUGUUUUUUUCUAAAAAAAAAAAAAA